AGAGCUUUAGUUUAGUUAAAAUAUCUGUGUUGCAGUCAGGAGAUGUGGGAUGCCGCAAGUUCUA
rnacentral:tRNA from 2 species